UACGUAGGUGGCAAGCGUUAUCCGGAUUUACUGGGCGUAAAGAGCGCGCAGGCGGUCGUUCAAGUCGCGUGUGAAAGCCCCCGGCUCAACUGGGGAGGGUCACGCGAUACUGAUCGACUCGAAGGCAGGAGAGGGUAGUGGAAUUCCCGGUGUAGUGGUGAAAUGCGCAGGAUAUCGGGAGGAACACCAAUGGCGAAGGCAGCUGGCUGGGACGGUACGUGACGCUGAGGCGCGAAAGCGUGGGGAGCGAACGAGG
rnacentral:rRNA from 1 species